AUCACGGGUAAUAUGAUGACAGCUCUGAUUGUCAUUCCAGAAAAAGAGUUUCAAAAUUGCUUUGAAAGUUGGGCUAGGCACUGGCGAUAGUGCAUAGCUUACCAAAAGGAGUACUUCAAAGGUGUCUUUAGUGAUAUUCAGCAAAGAGGUAUGUAGCACUUUUUCUAAGACGAGUUCAUGAACUUAAUUGUUAGAUCUCAUGUAUGUAUAGGGAAAAACAUAGUAUAUAUAGGAUUCGGUACCAUCUGCAGUUUUGGGCAUCCACUGGGGAUAAGGAGGAACUAUUGUAUAACCAUAUAAAAGGCUUUUUGGAAAAAUGCUUUUGAAGAAGUUUUAGGAUAUCUAAUUUCACCUCGCCUAUUCACAGGGCACAGCUGAAAUCCUCCCCAACCCCAUGGUCUCUGCUCAUAUCUGUAAUACUCAUCUCCCCUAUUGAUUUAAAGAUAACAUCCUCUACUGAAUUUCAUUACCAUUUACAUGUUUUCCACGCUUGUCUCCCUUAGAAAAUAUUAAAAUCUUGAAGGUAAGGAAUGGUAAUAACAGAAACUACUACAUCAAUUAACAAUCAAACAUUUACUAUUUGUCAGGCAUUGUACCAUAGGCUUUAUAUGUGUUAUUUUAUGCAGUCCUCUUGACAAUUCUAUUAUCUCUAUUUCUAUUAUAAGAAAACUGAGGAUUAAACAGAAUAAAGAACUUACCUGAGGCCUAUUGAAGACUACAAGUUACCAUCCAAUAUCUAUUCUCCAUUUUUUUACCUUGUGAUACAACCAAAAUUCCAUUUUGGGAAGCAAUUCAGUUCACUGAAAAAUUGCCUUUUGAAUACUCUCUUGAAGCUAGGCCUUGACGAUUCUUCAAUGGCUUCCAGCUUUGGGCCACAAGUGAACUUGGGGAUAAAAGCUACAUGCUAACAUGGUGGAGCCAAAAACUAGGAAGAGCCUGCGUCUCUGAUGACCUUGAAGCAGCACUUCCAGCACAGAACUAAUAGAGCUGCAGACUUCAGUUACAUGAGAGAAAAAUUAACAUGUACUAUUUCAGCCAUUUGGGGUUUUCACUCACUGUCACCCUAAGUGAAGCAUAUCUCACAGCUGAUAAAAGAUAUUGCUGAGAUUCAGUCCUAAGCAAUUUUGUAUUUUUAUCCUACUCUCAGUGCCUAAUUACAUGAUAUGCACAUCAUACGUUCUGCUUACUUUGGCUGCAAGAAUGAACUCCUUAUUUAGAAGGUUAAAAAAACUGUAUAUAUUUUGUAUUAAAAUAACCCUUCCCAGGAUUUCCUUGCAGAUUCAGCAGAAAGAAUGCAGAAUACAUUGGCACUCCCCUAAAUAAUUAGAAAAUGUGGUAAAGCUGUUUCUUGACUAUUGGAAAUGCUUUUCAAAAUCCUUAUUUUAUAUAUUGGUGUUCCUGUGCUCUAUAUUUUUCUCAUUUGCAAUUCAUAUGUCUGAAGUUGCCAUUAUCAUUUGUGUAUUCAUUUUGGCAAAUAUUUAUUAAACGCCUAUUGUAUAUCAGGAACCAGUUACUUGUUGGGGACAGAAGGGUGAACAAAAUAGGCAAUAUGCUUGAUAUUAUGAUGUUUAUAUUCUUGGGGAGGUGGGGUGAGGGUGUGGAGAGAGAGAAAAUAAUAAGCAAAUAAGUCAGGCAGUAAUAUGUUUAGUGGAGAAAAUUCAAGUGGAGUAAGGGGCCAGUGUUGCCAGGAUUGGGGUAGUUACCUGAAACAAGUAAGAGUAAAUAAAGGAACUUUUGUUUCCUGGCUAGGGCUGUCAACAUAUGUUUUUAGUUUGGGAAAGAACAUAUAUCUUGAUGACAAAGAUUGAUACAUUUCUGAAAAGGUCCUCCAUUGUUCUUGACAAUUUGAAAAACCUUCUGUUGACUUGUCUGAGCAUUUUGUGUCCAAUAAACCCAACUGGACAAUAACUA